CCGGAGAAUGUUAUCACGGGAGACACACGGCGGGUGCUAACGUCCGUCGUGAAGAGGGAAACAACCCAGACCGCCAGCUAAGGUCCCAAAGUCAUGGUUAAGUGGGAAACGAUGUGGGAAGGCCCAGACAGCCAGGAUGUUGGCUUAGAAGCAGCCAUCAUUUAAAGAAAGCGUAAUAGCUCACUGGUCGAGUCGGCCUGCGCGGAAGAUGUAACGGGGCUAAACCAUGCACCGAAGCUGCGGCAGCGACGCUUAUGCGUUGUUGGGUAGGGGAGCGUUCUGUAAGCCUGCGAAGGUGUGCUGUGAGGCAUGCUGGAGGUAUCAGAAGUGCGAAUGCUGACAUAAGUAACGAUAAAGCGGGUGAAAAGCCCGCUCGCCGGAAGACCAAGGGUUCCUGUCCAACGUUAAUCGGGGCAGGGUGAGUCGACCCCUAAGGCGAGGCCGAAAGGCGUAGUCGAUGGGAAACAGGUUAAUAUUCCUGUACUUGGUGUUACUGCGAAGGGGGGACGGAGAAGGCUAUGUUGGCCGGGCGACGGUUGUCCCGGUUUAAGCGUGUAGGCUGGUUUUCCAGGCAAAUCCGGAAAAUCAAGGCUGAGGCGUGAUGACGAGGCACUACGGUGCUGAAGCAACAAAUGCCCUGCUUCCAGGAAAAGCCUCUAAGCAUCAGGUAACAUCAAAUCGUACCCCAAACCGACACAGGUGGUCAGGUAGAGAAUACCAAGGCGCUUGAGAGAACUCGGGUGAAGGAACUAGGCAAAAUGGUGCCGUAACUUCGGGAGAAGGCACGCUGAUAUGUAGGUGAAGUCCCUUGCGGAUGGAGCUGAAAUCAGUCGAAGAUACCAGCUGGCUGCAACUGUUUAUUAAAAACACAGCACUGUGCAAACACGAAAGUGGACGUAUACGGUGUGACGCCUGCCCGGUGCCGGAAGGUUAAUUGAUGGGGUCAGCGCAAGCGAAGCUCUUGAUCGAAGCCCCGGUAAACGGCGGCCGUAACUAUAACGGUCCUAAGGUAGCGAAAUUCCUUGUCGGGUAAGUUCCGACCUGCACGAAUGGCGUAAUGAUGGCCAGGCUGUCUCCACCCGAGACUCAGUGAAAUUGAACUCGCUGUGAAGAUGCAGUGUACCCGCGGCAAGACGGAAAGACCCCGUGAACCUUUACUAUAGCUUGACACUGAACAUUGAGCCUUGAUGUGUAGGAUAGGUGGGAGGCUUUGAAGUGUGGACGCCAGUCUGCAUGGAGCCGGCCUUGAAAUACCACCCUUUAAUGUUUGAUGUUCUAACGUGGACCCGUGAUCCGGGUUGCGGACAGUGUCUGGUGGGUAGUUUGACUGGGGCGGUCUCCUCCUAAAGAGUAACGGAGGAGCACGAAGGUUGGCUAAUCCUGGUCGGACAUCAGGAGGUUAGUGCAAUGGCAUAAGCCAGCUUGACUGCGAGCGUGACGGCGCGAGCAGGUGCGAAAGCAGGUCAUAGUGAUCCGGUGGUUCUGAAUGGAAGGGCCAUCGCUCAACGGAUAAAAGGUACUCCGGGGAUAACAGGCUGAUACCGCCCAAGAGUUCAUAUCGACGGCGGUGUUUGGCACCUCGAUGUCGGCUCAUCACAUCCUGGGGCUGAAGUAGGUCCCAAGGGUAUGGCUGUUCGCCAUUUAAAGUGGUACGCGAGCUGGGUUUAGAACGUCGUGAGACAGUUCGGUCCCUAUCUGCCGUGGGCGCUGGAGAACUGAGGGGGGCUGCUCCUAGUACGAGAGGACCGGAGUGGACGCAUCACUGGUGUUCGG
rnacentral:rRNA from 1 species